rnacentral:rRNA from 1 species
UACGAAGGGGGCGAGCGUUGUUCGGAUUUACUGGGCGUAAAGGCGCGCAGGCGGUCUUGAAAGUCAGGCGUGAAAGCCCCGGGCUCAACCUGGGAAUGGCAUUUGAUACUCUGAGGCUGGAGUACGGGAGAGGAGAGUGGAAUUCCCAGUGUAGAGGUGAAAUUCGUAGAUAUUGGGAAGAACACCGGUGGCGAAGGCGGCUCUCUGGACCGUAACUGACGCUGAGGCGCGAAAGCGUGGGGAGCAAACA